rnacentral:rRNA from 1 species
UACAGAGACUGCAAGCGUUAUUCGGAUUCACUGGGCGUAAAGGGUGCGCAGGCGGCCGAUUAAGUCAGAGGUGAAAGCCCGGGGCUCAACCCCGGAAAUGCCUUUGAAACUGGUAGGCUUGAAUGCAGGAGAGGGUCGCGGAAUUCUUGGUGUAGAGGUGAAAUUCGUAGAUAUCAGGAAGAACACCAGUGGCGAAAGCGGCGACCUGGCCUGACAUUGACGCUCAUGCUCGAGAGCGUGGGGAGCAAACAGG